GGAGGCAGCAGUGGGGAAUUUUGGACAAUGGGCGCAAGCUGAUCCAGCAAUGCCGCGUGAGUGAAGAAGGCUUUCGGGUGUAAAGCUCUUUUGUCAGGGAAGAAACGGUAGAGGCUAAUAUCCUCUGCUAAUGACGGUACCUGAAGAAUAAGCACCGGCUAACUACGUGCCAGCAGCCGCGGUAAUACGUAGGGUGCAAGCGUUAAUCGGAAUUACUGGGCGUAAAGCGUGCGCAGGCGGUUUUGUAAGUCUGUCGUGAAAGCCCCGGGCUCAACCUGGGAAUUGCGAUGGAGACUGCAAGGCUUGAAUCUGGCAGAGGGGGGUAGAAUUCCACGUGUAGCAGUGAAAUGCGUAGAGAUGUGGAGGAACACCGAUGGCGAAGGCAGCCCCCUGGGUCAAGAUUGACGCUCAUGCACGAAAGCGUGGGGAGCAAACAGGAUUAGAUACCCUGGUAGUCCACGCCCUAAACGAUGUCUACUAGUUGUCGGGUUUUAAUUAACUUGGUAACGCAGCUAACGCGUGAAGUAGACCGCCUGGGGAGUACGGUCGCAAGAUUAAAACUCAAAGGAAUUGACGGGGACCCGCACAAGCGGUGGAUGAUGUGGAUUAAUUCGAUGCAACGCGAAAAACCUUACCUACCCUUGACAUGUCAGGAAGUCUUGAGAGAUCAGGAUGUGCCCGAAAGGGAACCUGAACACAAGGUGCUGCAAUGGCUGUCGUCAAGCUCGUGUC
rnacentral:rRNA from 1 species